GAUGAACGCUGGCGGCGUGCCUAAUACAUGCAAGUCGAGCGAACAGACGAGGAGCUUGCUCCUCUGACGUUAGCGGCGGACGGGUGAGUAACACGUGGAUAACCUACCUAUAAGACUGGGGUAACUUCGGGAAACCGGAGCUAAUACCGGAUAAUAUAUUGAACCGCAUGGUUCAAUAGUGAAAGACGGUUUUGCUGUCACUUAUAGAUGGAUCCGCGCCGCAUUAGCUAGUUGGUAAGGUAACGGCUUACCAAGGCAACGAUGCGUAGCCGACCUGAGAGGGUGAUCGGCCACACUGGAACUGAGACACGGUCCAGACUCCUACGGGAGGCAGCAGUAGGGAAUCUUCCGCAAUGGGCGAAAGCCUGACGGAGCAACGCCGCGUGAGUGAUGAAGGUCUUCGGAUCGUAAAACUCUGUUAUUAGGGAAGAACAAAUGUGUAAGUAACUAUGCACGUCUUGACGGUACCUAAACAGAAAGCCACGGCUAACUACGUG
rnacentral:rRNA from 1 species